rnacentral:rRNA from 1 species
AGUGAACGCUGGCGGUAGGCCUAACACAUGCAAGUCGAACGGCAGCACAGUAAGAGCUUGCCUUUACGGGUGGCGAGUGGCGGACGGGUGAGGAAUACAUCGGAAUCUACUUUUUCGUGGGGGAUAACGUAGGGAAACUUACGCUAAUACCGCAUACGACCUACGGGUGAAAGCAGGGGAUCUUCGGACCUUGCGCGAUUGAAUGAGCCGAUGUCGGAUUAGCUAGUUGGCGGGGUAAAGGCCCACCAAGGCGGCGAUCCGUAGCUGGUCUGAGAGGAUGAUCAGCCACACUGGAACUGAGACACGGUCCAGACUCCUACGGGAGGCAGCAGUGGGGAAUAUUGGACAAUGGGCGCAAGCCUGAUCCAGCCAUACCGCGUGGGUGAAGAAGGCCUUCGGGUUGUAAAGCCCUUUUGUUGGGAAAGAAAAGCAGCAGGUUAAUACCCCGCUGCUCUGACGGUACCCAAAGAAUAAGCACCGGCUAACUUCGUG